rnacentral:lncRNA from 1 species
UCUAAAUGAUAAUAGAGAGAAGAUUCAGGGCGUAGUGAAAAAUCCUCUCUUUUUUUUCCAUCCCCCCACCCUAUUAGGAAAUCAACAGUUCUUUGGGAAACUGCUGCACAUUUCUAGUGUUGAAUGCCAAAGGGGAAGCCUCCCGAAGACAAGUUGUAUUAUGAGUAUAUAAUUUCUUGACAUCUUAACGUAAAAAGUCAGCUCAGGCACUCCAGGGAAAGAAUAU